GAGUGCGGAGAUAAAGACGUGCCGGUUUAGUAUAAAUAUCUGAGAGCAUGAGGAAAGAGCGCAUCAUUUCAUGAGCGGCACUGAAGAAGAGACACAGGGAGCCAAAAGGAGGAGAGAGGGAAUACAAAAAGCAACAAGAAGCUGAAUGAAAGCAAAAGGAACAGAGAGCGAAGGGAGGAAAUAAAAUACAGCAAAGGAAGGUUUUUAUAUUACAUAGUGGAAAUAGAAAUGGCAAACGCAGCAGGAGGAGUGUUUUUGGCUUCACUGUUGUUCCUGAGUGCCAGUGUACCAUGUUUGUCUGUGCAUAAUAGUGGCGAGUGCUUCUUCAACACUAAAGGGAGCUGUGAACACAUGGGACAGGUGUAUGGGAUAGGCGAGAGCUGGAUAACUAGUGACUGUUAUCAGUGUGUCUGCAUGGAGCCUUUUGGAGUAGGAUGCUGUGACCAUGGGUCGAAACCUGUGGAUUAUCCAGACUGGUGUGAGAUCAUCCGUAAACCUGAUUCUUGUACGACUGUUGCAGUGAUGAGAGCCAAUCAUAAGCUACCCUGCCUCUGGGGACGAGGCCGUGUCAAACCAGCCGCAGGACAACCAUGGAAUCCUGACAAUGAUUUUAUAUUUUGAGUUUCGCAAUUAAUGAAAAAAAAAUAGCAAUAUAACAAUAUGUGAUGUUUAUUUUUGA